rnacentral:rRNA from 1 species
UUGAUCAUGGCUCAGAACGAACGCUGGCGGCAGGCUUAACACAUGCAAGUCGAACGCCCCGCAAGGGGAGUGGCAGACGGGUGAGUAACGCGUGGGAAUCUACCCAGAUCUACGGAACAACAGAGGGAAACUUCUGCUAAUACCGGAUACGUCCGCAAGGAGAAAGAUUUAUCGCCGAAAGAUCGGCCCGCGUCGGAUUAGCUAGUUGGUGGGGUAAAAGCCUACCAAGGCGACGAUCCGUAGCUGGUCUGAGAGGAUGAUCAGCCACACUGGGACUGAGACACGGCCCAGACUCCUACGGGAGGCAGCAGUGGGGAAUAUUGGACAAUGGGCGCAAGCCUGAUCCAGCCAUGCCGCGUGGGUGAAGAAGGCCCUAGGGUUGUAAACCCCUUUCAGCGGGGAAGAUAAUGACGGUACCCGCAGAAGAAGCCCCGGCUAACUCCGUGCCAGCAGCCGCGGUAAUACGGA